GGAAUGGACUUCUCCCAUUCUACUGGGGCAGCCUGGAGAACACUUGGGCUUCGAAGACCACUUCCCUCUGCUCCCCAGGGCCUUCCCCACUGGCUUCAGAGGCGUGACUGAGGGCAAGAAGGAAGAGCCAAGAUUCUGUCUACAUGUGUGAUCGACAAUGUUAAUUCUCAUAUUGUACAUUGUGCCAUCUCUCCCUGAACUUUAUUGAUGUUUUGAAGCAAAACAACCAUUUACUCCUCUCCUAAAGAUUCCAGUUAAUGAGGUGCGCACAGGCCCCUUUGCAGAGCGCCAGCCAUUUCCAGGGAGGCACAGUGGUAGCAUUUCAGUGCCGUUCUGCUCAGGAAAGACGACCAAACAGCCCUCCUGCCCUCACCUUUGCACACCACACAUCUCAGCUUCAACUCGCCAUCACGGUGGUCCCAGGCACGGUCGCUGCAACAUCAGAAGGGCGGCAUUUCAGCAAGCAUUUGUUUUUGGGGUAGGGGUAGUGGUAAUUACCAGCACAUGAUUAUUUUAUUUUGUCUGAAUUAUUUACAAUGGAAGGAAGCAGUUUGGAGGGAAGGGGAUAUUAGGGAAUGAGUUCAAUCCCACUUGCAUUGAUUCUACCCAGAGCAAGAAGAGCAAGCCUAUUGAGAAGAAAAAUCACUUCCUUUUCUUCCUCUUUCCUCUCCACCCCUAAGUCUUAGAAAUAAAUAAAUAAUGCAAAGAAAAGCCCUGGGUGGCUGCAUGGGAGGGGCCAGUGGCUGGGUGUCUGUGGCCUUCACUGAGGACUCACUUCCAUUAUUACAUCGGGUCCUGGGCUGGAGCGUUCAGUGGUUCAAUUCUUG
rnacentral:lncRNA from 1 species